GUUUUCUGUUUGUGGCUCCCAGGUCCCUUAUUACUUACAGGAGAAUAACUUUAACCUUUUCUUCUAUCUUGAUACGGGUGUUAAGUAUUCAAAACAUGGUGCCUAAGCACUGUAUGUCAAAACAGUAUCACUGCUGGUCAAUAUUAUUAUCAUGUUAAGUAUAGGGAUAGUGAGAUGCAGUCUUGGUUAUAAACAAGAAGGUGAACGUUUUAGUCUUUUUUGAUGAAUGUGAGAAUGGGGAAAUUGCUGAUAUACUCAUAGCCAGAUUUUUGUUGAGAUGGGAAGCUAUUUUGCUUGCCUGUAUCAAAAUUAAGGGAACUGUUAUUGCAGCAAGAUGGGCUGUUUCUUGCAUUGAAUCAAGUUGUAUGAGAAAGUGUCUAGAAAGUAUGGAAUAAAAACAUUUGUCGAAAUGGAUGAGUGGAAGAGGGAAGUGCAAUUUGUGGAAGGGCUUGGUGAAUUCUGAUUUUGAUCAGGACUGUUGAAGAUUAAUUAUGGCAUUAGUGAGGAGAUCGCAAUAAUUCAAGGUGAUGUGCUGCAAGGUCAAAAUGAAGGUGAUUCAGUCAAGGAAACAAAAUUUAUGAAUUAUAUUGAUUUAAUUUUUCAUUGUAAAA
rnacentral:misc_RNA from 1 species